GUGGGGAAUCUUCCGCAAUGGACGAAAGUCUGACGGAGCAACGCCGCGUGAGCGAAGAAGGUUUUCGGAUCGUAAAGCUCUUUCGUUAGGGACGAACGUGCUCUUUGUGAAUAAUGAGGAGUAAUGACGGUACCUAAAUAAGAAGCCACGGCUAACUACGUGCCAGCAGCCGCGGUAAUACGUAGGUGGCAAGCGUUGUCCGGAAUUAUUGGGCGUAAAGCGCGCGCAGGCGGGAUAUCAAGUCUGUCUUAAAAGUGCGAGGCUCAACCUCGUGAGGGGACAGAAACUGGUAUUCUUGAGUGUCGGAGAGGAAAGUGGAAUUCCAAGUGUAGCGGUGAAAUGCGUAGAGAUUUGGAAGAACACCAGUGGCGAAGGCGACUUUCUGGACGAUGUCUGACGCUGAGGCGCGAAAGCUAGGGGAGCGAACGGGAUUAGAAACCCGAGUAGUCC
rnacentral:rRNA from 1 species